GUAACAUAUUCAUAAAACUUCAUGGCACUAUAUUUAUUCAGUUUCACACAAAACUGUAACUUUGUUUUAGAAAUCUUUAAAAAUAAUAUUUGUUAUAAAUGGUAGAUAGCAGUUUCUUCUGAUUUCUGUGUAGUCAUCCAAUUUUAUAAAGCUGUAUAAAAUUCUAUAUUUUUUAUAUUCAGAAUAAAACACAAUCUCCCAUACCUUUAUUGCAUGAAGAAAUGAUGUGAAAAUCUGUCUGUGAAUCCUGUAGAACAUUUGUGUGUUUCAUUUGUAGCUCUCAAUCUGGUGUGGUGAACAUCUACUCACAGAAAGAAUGCUUGCACAGUGUAGAGCCCAAACCUCUGAAGAGCAUCAUGAACCUGGUGACACCAGCAACCUCUUUAUGCUUCAACAACACCUCUGAGAUUUUGGCCAUUGGCUCAAGAGCAGACGAUGAGGCCAACCGAUUGGUCCAUAUUCCCAGUUUCACAGUGUUUUCCAAUUUUCCACAAUUCCGAAAGAAGACUAUCUUUCGAACACAUUGUUUGGAUUUCUCCCCAAGGAGUGGCUUCUACUCUGUGGCCAAUAAUAAGGGUCAUGCGUUGUUGUUCAGGCUUCUACAUUAUAAUGACUUCUAAAGAUGGACAGAUGGAUGUUUUUGAUGGCACCUACUCCAAUUGUUCAAGUGUAUUCAUUAGAUUUUCAUGUCAUAAUAAUGACUGUCCUUAACACAGUCUUCAGUAGUGGAAUUGCUGUAAUGCUCUUGAGUGAUUAACAGGGCUCAACCAGGAGGAUGUUGUCAAAAAGAGAUUUGCUUGAAAUGAUUCAAUUUAAAAAUAGUUAAGAAAAUAUAGCAACACACACCUUCCAAUAAAUCAAAUAAUAGUUUACCACACUGAUUUAACCAAUUCAUUAGUGCAAAGCAUUCUCCAGGAUUACCUGUUCAUCCUUUAAGUUGUCAAAAUCAGGACCAUGAACUGGGUCAUUCCUGUAAUGAAGAUCAUGUGUGUGAAUAUUGGAUAAAAUAUUAAACUUACAAUUGCUAAAGAUUGAAAUCAUUUUAAUUUUCUUGUCACAAUUUAGUGAACAUACAGUUCAAUGGGUGUGAUGAAUUCUGUGAUGUUUUGUGUUAUUGGUUUGUCUCAUUCUAAAAUAUUCCAUCCUGUUUGAUAAAUACUAAACUGAUUAAUAUUGAUACAAUUACAGAAAUCGGAGUGAUGUGAAGAAAAAAAAUAAGGCUGUUAAUCAAUUAAAAAUGUUUUACUAAUCUCAGUUUUUUGUGUUUGGUUAACUCUGAACUGAGAAUCUGAAUAAAAGAGAGGACAAAUAGAAGAUCGAAACUCUUAGCCCAAUUCAAAGGAUACAUAUUUAAAAGCUGCAUGUUUUUAUUGUUGCUGGAGUGUGUGCAGACAUUAUUUUACAACAUGUUGAGCAGGAUAUUUGUUAUUUGAGGGGUGUCAUUUCAGAAGACCUCUUGCAUAACGGCAUAUCCUGGUCUGUGCAUUGUAAAAAAAAAUCUACUUAUGAUUUUCUUUUUAUAACAUGUAAAACAGUCAUGUAAAUUGCAGACAUUAACAUGUUACAGUUCCAGCCCUAUGAAAAUCUUAAAUGAUUAGGGAAAGAAGCAACUUAAAGAUUAACUUAACUGUCUAACCCAUUAUGCUUAAGCGAUGACAUUAUCUAAAAAAAUUAAGUUGGGAUUUUAGGCUUGUAGUCACAAAUACACUCACCUAAAGGAUUAUUAGGAACACCUGUUCAAUUUCUCAUUAAUGCAAUUAUCUAAUCAACCAAUCACAUGGCAGUUGCUUCAAUGCAUUUAGGGGUGUGGUCCUGGUCAAGACAAUCUCCUGAACUCCAAACUGAAUGUCAGAAUGGGAAAGAAAGGUGAUUUAAGCAAUUUUGAGCGUGGCAUGGUUGUUGGUGCCAGACUGGCCAGUCUGAGUAUUUCACAAUCUGCUCAGUUACUGGGAUUUUCACGCACAACCAUUUCUAGGGUUUACAAAGAAUGGUGUGAAAAGGGAAAAACAUCCAGUAUGCGGCAGUCCUAUGGGCGAAAAUGCCUUUGAUGCUAGAGAUCAGAGGAGAAUGGGCCGCCUGAUUCGAGCUGAUAGAAGAGCAACUUUGCCUGAAAUAACCACUCGUUACAACCGAGGUAUGCAGCAAAGCAUUUGUGAAGCCACAACACGCACAACCUUGAGGCAGAUGGGCUAUAACAGCAGAAGACCCCACCGUGUACCACUCAUCUCCACUACAAAUAGGAAAAAGAGGCUACAAUUUGCAGGAGCUCACCAACAUUGGACAGUUGAAGACUGGAAAAAUGUUGCCUGGAUGGUGAGUCUCGAUUUCUGUUGAUACAUUCAGAUGGUAGAGUCAGAAUUUGGCGUAAACAGAAUGAGAACAUGGAUCCAUCAUGCCUUGUUACCACUGUGCAGGCUGCUGGUGGUGGUGUAAUGGUGUGGGGGAAGAAGACAUCUUCUAACCCCAGAAGAAGACAUCUUCUAACCCCACUGUGAGUUUUGAUGCAACUGGCACACUUUAGGCCCCUUAGUGCCAGUUGGGCAUCGUUUAAAUGUCACGGCCUACCUGAGCAUUGUUUCUGACCAUGUCCACCAUGUACCCAUCCUCUGAUGGCUACUUCCAGCAGGAUAAUGCACCAUGUCACAAAGCUCGAAUCAUUUCAAAUUGGUUUCUUGAACAUGACAAUGAGUUCACUGUACUAAAAUGGCCCCCACAGUCACCAGAUCUCAACCCAAUAGAGCAUCUUUGGGAUGUGGUGGAACGGGAGCUUCGUACCCUGGAUGUGCAUUCCACAAAUCUCCAUCAACUGCAAGAUGCUAUCCUAUCAAUAUGGGCCAACAUUUCUAAAGAAUGCUUUCAGCACCUUGUUGAAUCAAUGCCACGUAGAAUUAAGGCAGUUCUGAAGGCGAAAGGGGGUCAAACAUAGUAUUAGUAUGGUGUUCCUAAUAAUCCUUUAGGUGAGUGUAUAUUUGCUCUAGCCCCAAACCCGUUUCCUGUUGACCAUUGCCUUUACCCCUUCAUUAUGUACAUGAAGAGCUGCCGACAAGGUCCUUUUAAUGAAGGUAGACCCUAGCAGAGAUUUACAACAAGCAAUCCUGGAAAUCUAGGUUUGUGAUUGGGGCAGGUUAAUGUUGUGCCACAGCCUUAAGCCCUAUUCUCACCUUGGCUGAAUUAUUUUAAUUUUAUUUACUUUAACCCCAUAUCUGUUAGCUUCUCUCUUUCUUUUUCUUGCCUUUUCUCCCCAAUUCCUAAUGCACUCGAAGUCCUUGUGGUGGCAUAGUGACUCGCCUCAGUUCGGGUGGCGGAAGACAAAUCUCCGUUGACUCCGCAUCUUGAGACAGCCAGUCUGUGCAUUUUAUCACGUGGCUUGAGCACGUUACCAUGGCUUCACGCUAUUCUCCAUAGCAUCCACGCACAACUCACUAAGUGCCCUAUCGAGAGCGAGAACCGCAUUAUGGCAAUCAGAGGUUGUUACGCCAUGUGACUUUACCCUCCUUAGCAACCGGUCCAAUUUGGAAGGAGACCUGGCUGGAGUCACUCCGCACGCCCUUGAUUUGAACUCACGUCUCCAGAGGUGGUAGUCGGCGUCAAUACUCGCUGAGCUACCCAGGCCCCCCCAUGUCUGUUAAACAUUUGCAUUUUAAAAUAUAAUAUUUUUUUUGCUGCUAAAAAAGACCCAGGAAAAUUCAUGAUGUCACAGAUAAUUUUUUUUUUCAAUCAAAUGCUUUCUAGAAUGACAAUAUCUGUGAUCUAAGUAGUAUAAAUGAUUAUUUUCAAGGGCAUUUUGAAGGGAGAACAGUCCAUGCUGUAACCUGCGUGAAGUUAGCCCCCCACCCAACGCAAAAUGUUGGCAAUACAACAACUACUCCUUAUCAAUGUUUUUGUAGUCGCUAUGGUGUUUAUUAUAUGGUGUUUAUUAAAAAUGGAUUGGUGUUCAGACAGCAGCAGCUCAGUAAUCAUCUGGUGUCUGUCGGACUCUUUUUCUGUCACUCACUUUCGCUCCGCUCUGGGCAUGAGAACAAAAGCGCAAAUCUCAAUGUGAACACACUUUUAGAGUCGAAUUGUCGAAGAAUUUCUGUCAAGACUAAUCAUCACAUAAUUUGUUAAAUAAACAAUUAUCUUCA